GCCUCUGUAGCUCAGUUGUUUAGAGCGCUGCACCGGAAUCGCAGGGCCGUAGGUUCAAUUCCUACCAGAGGAC
rnacentral:tRNA from 1 species